rnacentral:rRNA from 1 species
AGUGAACGCUGGCGGUAGGUCUAACACAUGCAAGUCGAACGGCAGCACAGUAAGAGCUUGCUCUUACGGGUGGCGAGUUGCGGACGGGUGAGGAAUACAUCGGAAUCUACUUUUUCGUGGGGGAUAACGUAGGGAAACUUCCGCUAAUACCGCAUACGACCUACGGGUGUAAGCAGGGGAGCGUCGGACCUUGCGCGAUUGAAUGAGCCGAUGCCGGAUUAGCUAGUUGGCGGGGUAAAGGCCCACCAAGGCGACGAUCCGUAGCUGGUCUGAGAGGAUGAUCAGCCACACUGGAACUGAGACACGGUCCAGACUCCUACGGGAGGCAGCAGUGGGGAAUAUUGGACAAUGGGCGCAAGCCUGAUCCAGCCAUACCGCGUGGGUGAAGAAGGCCUUCGGGUUGUAAAGCCCUUUUGUUGGGAAAGAAAAGCAGCAGGUUAAUACCCCGCUGUUCUGACGGUACCCCAAGAAUAAGCACCGGCUAACUUCGUG